UCAAAUUUGAAAGCUGGCCCCCCCCGGGGGUCCGCGUUGUAAUUUGUAGAGGAUGAUUCGGCGAGGGCUCCCGCCUAAGUCCCCUGGAACGGGGCGUCAUAGAGGGUGAGAAUCCCGUAUGCGGUGGGCUGCCUUAGCCAUGUGAAUCUCCUUCGACGAGUCGAGUUGUUUGGGAAUGCAGCUCUAAAUGGGAGGUAAAUUUCUUCUAAAGCUAAAUACCGGCCAGAGACCGAUAGCGCACAAGUAGAGUGAUCGAAAGAUGAAAAGCACUUUGGAAAGAGAGUUAAAAAGUACGUGAAAUUGUUGAAAGGGAAGCGCUUGCAGCCAGACUUGCCCGCAGUUGCUCAGCCGGUCUCCUGACCGGCGCACUCUUCUGCGGCCAGGCCAGCAUCAGUUCGGGCGGUCGGAUAAAGGCCCCGGGAACGUAGCUCCUCUCGGGGAGUGUUAUAGCCCGGGGUGGAAUGCGGCCAGCC
rnacentral:rRNA from 1 species